UCCACUCUGAGCGUGGGAAGGGCUUGGCAACUAGAGGCCUGAAGUUUGGGGAGGGAGAACGACACAUUUGCCUUCGUGAAGCGCUCUGCUUCUUGGAAGCGGCACGAAGACACCGUGUGCAAACUGGGGAGAGCCGGACAGACCCAGUUACCACCUCGGCCCGUGCCCUGGGGGGGAGGCACAAGCACUUCCGGGUGGCGGAGUGCACUUCCGGGUCAGGGCGCCUCCUGCUGUUUCCGCAGUCCGAAUUUGUCCGCCUCCCCUCAAGCCGGCCCACGGGUUGACUGGCUUCCAUAGCAAGAAUGGAAGUUCUCCCUGUGUUCUCUACCGGCCUUUGGCACAGUUGGACUGUAGCGUGCAAGCGUGUGCAGCCAGAGCCAGGGGCUGCCCCAGCCCAGCUCCACCUGGGUCACAUCCAGAACCCGCCUCUGCCCCUGUGGGCCCAGCAACGGGAAGAAGAGACCGCAAGUUGAGGAGGCAUCUGAUAUGGCUGGAAGGAGAGGGAAUUCAGUCCACAGCAAAGACACAGCCCUCGCCACUCCAGCAGGUGGGGGCGCAGAGCCAGCAAGGUGUCUUCCUAGGGACCCACUGUACGUCCCUCUGAGAUCUGUGGGAGCUGGGAGACAAGCAACUGAGGAGGCGAACUCGGGAGAAGACCCCCAGCUUGCCAAAGUAAGGAAAUAGAGUCCAGGAAGAAGCAGGUGACUUGACCGAGGUCCCACAACUACCAGAUGGUGGAGCAAGAACCGGGCUCCUGGGGAAUCUUCACUGGGGCUCCUGUGCAGCCCAGGAAAGUGCCAGAGGUUCUUUGGGGACCAGAGUUGUAUCCCAGCGAAGUCACAAUGCACCCCUUCCAGCUUUUCUGGGUCCAGGGGAAGAGGAAAGUCGGCAGAGUCUUCCCCCACCGAACCAACACCAAAACCUGCACAGGUGCGCGUGGCAGAGACCAUGCCAGCUACUGCAGGGGCCCCAGAGUGGUCAGUGGGCGUUGGUUAAUGAGUGAGCGCCAGACUGCACAGAUGAGGGCGCCGAUAAACAGAUGGGAAGAAAUCCACUUGGGAAAGGCGGGUCAGCAUGCUACAGCACCGAGUCCAGCUUGACUCCUGAUUACUGAUGAUGAAGACAAAGAUAAUGACAUGAUGAUGACGGUGACCGCAUAAGUCGCUCUUUCUGCCAGGAACCGUUUCCCGGGACUGCUCCAGCCCCCUGAGAGGGAAGAGAAGGGGAGCAGGUGCCGGGCGACUUCUCUACCUGGUGCUGCCAGGAUCCGGAGCCCCUGGGCCACGGGGCUGUGCCGUCUGCCAGGUGCUUCUUCCGCUUGUGGUGUUCAGGGCUCUGUGCUGCGCAGCUGGGGCAACCCCUGUGCUGCGGGCUCCUGAUCCCGGGUCCGGCUCACGCAGAUCCCGGGAGGGGGCAGUGGGCGUGUGUCACUCCUGGAGUUACUGAGACGCUUAGAAAAGGACACUGACUUCCCUGCUGCUGGGGCAACACCGGAUCUGGCCUGGGGUCCAUUUCUCAGGGCUCUGCCCCUGCCCCGGCCCUCCGUGUUUCCCCGCUUGUGAGUCCUAGUCUCGAUUCUGGGGCCUCCCCUUUCUAGAAGAGUGAGGGCCAGGGCCCGAGCAUGGUGUCCUGCACUGCUGCAGCCAUGCUGGUUCCACCUAAUUGAUAAACAAACCCUGGCUGAGUUAAACCAGAGACUCCAAAAGACCACAGGGGCGGGCGCGGGGGUGGGGGGAGGGUUGAGGCUGGGGACACUCCAGAGGGUCCCUGCAGGUGGGAGAGGGAAGAAUCGAAUUGCAGUCUGUGGGAGCAACACUAUGGACCCUGCUGGAGGUGGGCAGUCCCAGGCAGGACUCCUGGCUCCACUUUCUAUUGGCCUGUGAGCAUGUGUUUCUGUUCUGAUAUUUAUUUUAUUUAUUUGAGAGGCAGAGUGACAGAGAGAGGGGGAGCGUUUUCAAUUCUGGGUCAGUCCACGAAUGGGUGCAACAGCCGGGGCUUUGCCAGGCUGAAGUCAGGAGCCAUGAAUGCAAUCUGGGUCUCCCACAUGGGUGCAGGGGCCCAAGCACUUGGGCUAUCAGCUGUUGUCUUCCCAGGGAGCUGGAUCAGAAGUAGAGCAGCAGGGACUUGAACCUGCACUCUGAUACAGGAUGCUCGCGUCACAAGCAGUGGCUUGACCUGCUGGGCCCCAGGGUCAGCCCCAGCUUGGAUUUCUUCCUGUCUGAUUCAGGGAUGGAGUUUACUCCAGCUCCAUUGUGAGAAAUUACCCAAAGUACACCAGCAUUCAUUCAUUCAUUCAUUCAUUAAAAAAAAAAAAAGGCAAGACGAUGGGUAAGUCAGGGUUACAUCAGCGCCCAUGAGAGAGCCUGCGAGAGAAUCAUUUCUCAGAAGGACGCAUCUGCCUCUUCCUUCAGACCUGGGUUUCCUCCCAGAAGUCGGGAAGGGUGGAGGACUCCUGGGCUCCAGUCUUUCCUAGCAGGCAGCGCCCGCCCGGAGCAGCAGGAACUGGGGUUAUCUGGCAGAGCACAGGGCCCAUUCCUGCUGCAAGGGCAGAUCUGUCCCCAGAAGCUACUCUCCCCGCGCCGGGAGCCUCAGCCCUGCCAUCCGGCUGGCGUUUGGGAGAGGCCACGCCUGUGCAGCAGUUUGGAGCCGGUUAGCAUCAGCUGGCAUUUGCAAGCGACAUUUAAAGGUCACCUCCAAUCCUCCUGCCGGGGAAACAGCGAGGGAAUGCAGACUCGGGCUGGGUCUAAUGAGCCUGGGUGAGAAGCAGAGGUGGCCGCACAGACAGGCCGGGCUGGGAGGGGGGCAGGGGUGGGGCUUUCCCCUGCGUGAAGGCUGGAGAAGCUCCAGGGAGAAGGGGCAGAGGGCAGGUGCAGUGGGCUCCUGGGGCUGGUGUCUUCCUGGAAGUAUGGGCAUGGAGGAGCAGGCUGGUGGGAAAUGCAGACGUCGGGUCCUUCCUUAGACAUCCUGUAUCCUGCUCCAGGAACGAGGGCCCCAUACGUAGGGGGAGGAGGUUCAUGGAGCCUGUUCUCUGAGCUAACAACUAGGCCUCAACAACUGAGCAGCCCCAUGCGAGUGGAGGCACACUGGGACAUCCAGGCUGCCAUGGAAAAGGGGGACCUGUGGGUGCCGGGUGAGCAGGUGACUGGUCUGGGUCACGGGACACCCAGCUGCGGAAGGAGACCAGGAGGGCCGUGUGUCGGCCACGCCCAGGAGCUGUCUGAUGCUCAGUGUGGGGUGAGCACGCCCUGCCCCCAGCCCUGCUGCCUGCUCUGUGCGCCUGAGUUCUGCUCUGCAGCCCUGGGCUCCUCACUGCCCUGUGACUUCCCUUCCCUCCACAGCCCAGCGUGGCUCUGGUAGCUGCUGCUGCUUCCCCUCCAUGCCAUGGGCACAGGUGCUGCCAGUGCCGGCCACCCUCCACCCGACAGGGCCAGCCUGUCCAGCUCUGGAUGCCAACUGCAACCAAGCUCGAGCUCGGGUUGGGGGCAGGGUAGCAAUGGGACAAUCCCACGUCUCCUCACAGGGGACGCGUUGUUGUGUGGCUCUCUGCUCUGAGGGGGGGCGGGUGGUUUGCAUUCAUAACUCCAGAGGGCCAUGGGAACUGCUUGCUCUCUCUUUUGAUUCAAGCCUGUCAUCUGUGAGCCCAAAAUGAACCUACCCAAAUGCUGUGUGUGUACAUAUAUCUAUUUAAAUAUUUAAGUAUCACUUACAUGUAAUUAUAUAUUUUUUAAAUGUGAGAAAGAGAGAGGGAUCCCAUCCUCUGGUUCACUCCCCGAAUGCCUUUCAUCUCCAGGGCUGGGUGGCAGGCCAAAGCCAGGAGCCACGAGGGCCCCACGUUCUCCAAUCCCAUGAGCCAUCCUUGCUGACUCCCAGGGUCCACUUUAGCAGGCAGCUGGAGCUGGGGGCCAGGACUGCGUGUUGAACCCAGGUGCUCCAGGUUGGGCCCUGGGUGUCUUAAUCCCUGGACCCAAGGCCUGUCUUAAAUGUCGACAGCUCGCCGUGAAACUGCCCGUGCCUCUCAGCUCUCCUCUCUUCCCGGCCUCCCUGUGCAGGGCAGAGUGGCCAGCAGGCAGUAAACAUUCCCGCCACACUUGAGGGAGGCUCAGAAAUGGGUGAGCAGGUAACCGGGGUGACCCCACGGGACCCCUGCUUGCCCUCAAGCGUGGGUCCCCUGCCCUCCCUCGCUGCCCGGGGCGGGGGUAGGUGGUGCCAUCUCCCUCUUUGAGGACCAUCCUCUGUGUCUGAUAAGACACGCAUCCUCUGUGUCUGAUGAGCCCCGGGGAGGGGCUGAACUGCAGGACGCUCGAAGCACGUUAAGCUGCUGUCAGUUUUCCGGGGACAUUUCUACAGGGAUUACCGUAUCUGGCUGCGUUCAGAUGUGACACCGAGUUGAGAGGGAUUUGGAUUAGGGGAGAAGGAGUGUGAUGGCAGGAAACAGAAGGAGAGACAGACAGGAAGAGCCCAGUGUGGGAGGCGAGGGCUCUGACAGCCACCUGCUGGGGGUGACCUGCCUGGGCCCGGGGCGGGGGUGGGGAGCAGUGGUGAUGCCCUCCUGGGGGAAGACAGAGGCUGGAGACGCCGCUGCAGGGCCAGGGAGGCUGUGUGGAGGACAAGCCCCACGCCUCGCGGCCGUGUGGCCAUGGAGGCCUCCCGCUGGGGUCUAGGGCUCAGGAGCCAGGUGCCCACGGGGGUCUCAGGAACCCUGAGUUUCCCCAAGGGACUGGGACGAGUCAUGUGUUGGCGCACGCAGGGAGAGGAGGAGGUUGAGGAAGUGAGAGGAGAGCGGGAGAGUGGCACUGGUUGAGCACCUAUGUGCCAAGCAUGCCUGCCUCACGCACGGGACUACGCAGGAGCCGUCACCAGGCUGGCACGGAGCCGAGCCAGCAGGAAUCGAGGGCUCUGAUUUGCAGAGCAGGCCUGUGUGGUACCCGAGGAAGGGAGAUGGAGGGGAGACGCGGCUGCCUCCUGCGGAGCCAGGUCCCUGUGUCACACGUGGGCAGCUUUGCAGCGCAGAGCUGUGCAGUGCAGACCAGGGGUUAUAGGAUGCCUUCCAGGGCACCAGCACGUCGCUCCAGGUCAGGCGCAGGCAGGGGGCAGCCUGCAGUCCCGAAUCUGGGCUGUGGGAGGCGCUCAGGAGCCCUGCGCUGAUACUGACCAAGUAUUGAGCCAUGUGGCCUGUGCAAUGAGGCAUUGUGUCUUCGUGCAGGAAGCCUAACAGGUGACCAGUGGUGCUGGGAUGGGACGCGCCCGGGAUCCCAGACAGAGACUCAGAGGGUGUUCUGCAUGAGCUGGUUGGAUGCCCGGGGCACCUGCUUCUCCUCUAGGCUCCUCCCAGCACUGACUCAGCCUCAGACCGAACCUCCUGUUGAAAGGGAGGUGCAGAUACAGACAGGAAUCAGUUCUGCUAGGUCUCUGAGCUACUGUGGACCAGGGAGGAAGUGUGUCUGCAGCCUCAAGCCCAUUGGGCUCUGGGAAAGUGGGUCUUGCUGACAUGGUCAGUGAGUGCCCAGGACCCUCUCAUACCCACCAAGUCACAGGUUUUAUAAUUAUCCAGGUCUGGUGCCUCCAAUACAACGGACACCUGCCAUUGAAAAGGCAGCUUGUUACACCCAGGGAUUUCCAAAGAAGGGGCACGCCGUGCUCUGGGCGCGGCGGGGAUCAGUCAGGAGGCCCUGGGGUCGGCAGGGAGGAGUGGGUGAGCAGGCUGGGUGGGCUGAGGGCUUGGAGCAGACUCUGAGCAGAGGCGCUGUUGUAAUUUGUCCGGCCCCUGGCCCGUAGCUGGGUGGAGAAGGAAAGAUGUGGCUGUGAUACACCUUCUGUAUGGCUCGCGUCUCGGCCCAGGCAGACUUCUCUAUGCAGCGCUGCUGUGGGGACUGGAAUCUGUGCCAAGUCCUACUACCCACCCAAUCCCCUCUCGGCUGAAACGCAUCAUCUCCGUCAGCCCCAGUCACCGAGCAGAGUCCUGGGCUGAGAGCCUGGCUCAUCUAACCCCGGUUUUAUCACCCGCUCAUCCCGAGCUUCGUCCCACUCACGGCGGGAGUCCAUGUGUCUUUAGUGCGUCCCGCGACGUUGUCAUAGGAAGAAGGAGUUUGGGGUGACACCUCGAUAGAAGAACUAAAAGAGGGGGGCAGGAGACAAACCGCGAAGGGGAAGCAAGCCGACCGACGGGUGGGCAAGGAUCACCCUCCUUCCUCUCGUCUGUUUACUGACGCUCAGAAUCCCUAUCCGUUCAUUACGGUGGCAAGCACAGUCUGGUGACAGGUUAAUUACACAGUUCUUGGUAAUUAGAAAGCAAAUAGAAGUUAAGAGGACACCACUGUCAAGAUAAAAACUGUCUAUUAGAAAUCUUUCUUGCAUGGCAAAUUCUACCUUCAUCUCUUAGACUGGAAGGGAUUUUUUUUUUUUUUCAUGUUGUUGCUUUGAGAAAAUUCCUUGCUCUUCCCUGGAGCUCAGAUAUGUUUAGUUCCGGCUCUUCCCCAGCCCCCUGCCCUUCCCCCUCCGUAAUGCACCUUGCUGCUUCCAUCCGGGCUCUGCUUCUAUUCUGGGCAAAUGUCUUGAGCGUCAGGCUCCUCGCAGCUCUAGUGUGGCCCAGAAAAGCUCGUGAGAUGUUUCUAAUUUCUCUGGGACUGGGUGAGGUGCGGCAGGGGGAGGAAGAAAAAAAACCCUCUGGGCAAUAAAAUCCCCCUUUUGCUAUUGCUGUGUGACCCUGCGAGAGUGGAGGAGCCUGGCUCCUCAGUGGAAAGUGAGAUGCUGCUGAGUUAGCGUGACACCCCCAUCCCCCACCCAACAGAGGGCAGAGGUCUCCUUAGCCAUCAACCCUAUUCCACAGUCAGUACAGAUGUGGACCCUGCAGGGUGUGUCUCGAGGUUUCUCUCUGAGAGGCGAGCUGCUUUGUGUUACUAGGACCUGAGUCACUGACCUCAUAGGGAGAGGUGCACACGCUGGACAAGACCCCACAGACACGGCUGCGUCCUGCUAUGCUGGCCAGAGCUCCCCAUAGACCCUGGCUGAGAACUGGAUCAACGACCAUGACAACACGCUCUGUGUGACGAGUGACCUCCCCCACGGAGUGAGCAUUGCUGAGUGGUUCUGGUGAUUCGGUGGGGGUUGUUUUAGAAUCGGGGUCUGUACCUGGCUGCAACACCGUUCCUGGUUUGCGAUAGAAUUGAAGACUAUUCCCUAAAGUCUGUGAGCUCUAAAAUCGCCUUCUCCAUGAGCUAUGAAUUGGAAACGUGAACACUUUGCUCAAAACCCAAGUUCAGCCAUUUCUGGGAGCUCCAACUCCCUCCCUACCCCAGCGAGCUCAGGGGAAAGGGCCAAGGCAAAGCCAGGGGCCAGGAGCUGAGUUAGCGGUUGGAUCCGUGACUUUGCCUUGAUCACCACUCUCAAGGAGCUUGUGGCUUGGAUGCGGGGACAGGGAAAGAGGCAGGUACCAGCCAGGGCGGCAGGAGACAUUGCAAAAUGCAUGGACUGAGGGAAUGUUGAAGGCCCCGAGACGAAGGAACGGCCUGACAAGGUGUUGUCUGCAAGAAGGGUCAGGUUCAGGGGCAGGAAGUGACGUUGGCCUGGAGCCGAUAACGGACUUUCUGAAGGGCUCAGCAGCCGGCAGGUGAGGAGCUGGAGCCCAUAUCCUCUGGUUCACCCUGGUGAGGCACCCUGCUCAGGGUCAGAUUACUCCCAAGCUGGGUCCUGGACUCUGGCCACUACAUGGCUAGGCAGUGUAGGAGCUCCUGCUGAGCAGCCAGGGAGUGGGCAGUGGUCAGGGGUCCUCCUGCGGGGCGUGAGGCAGGGGGUGGGGUGGGGAGAUCAGCACUCCCAAGGGUGCUCCUGAGGCUCGGCCACCACAGGGCACCUCAGGGGCAGUAGCAGCCAGCCUGCUUCCCCCAACACACUUGGAUGGCUUGGUGGUGGGGCGGGGGGAGAAAUGAAUGUGACCCAGCGUACCCCUGGUAUGGAGGGGUCUCUCUAGGGAAAGCCCACCAUCUACUCCCACCACUGGGGGGCCAGGCCCCUCCCCCACCGUCACCCCUUCCUGUGGCAUCUUCUGGGAGCAGAGUGGGACAAAGCGCGGGAACCUCACUGUGCAACCCCAGCCCGUCCUCUGCUCAGGAAUGUCCCCGCAGCCGACCUGCCUGAGUGCUGUCAGAGGCCCGUCCAAAUGUGAGCUGACGCUCCCUGAAGUAGCCCGCCUUCCCGGAGACAUCUCUUGACAUGGCAUUAAUGGAGAAAACAGCACAACGCAUCCCCUGGGCCGGGAGCAUUGAUUUCUUGUUUAGACCCCUUAACGAAACAUCGACAAGCGAGGUGGCAGGUUUGAUGAGGUGUCUCCACGGUGGGGUUCCAUGGCUGGGAGGAGUUGGGGCAGUGGGGUAGAGGGGUCUGAAUUCUCCAAGGCUCGCUUUUGAAAAAUGCCAAGUGGGUGGUGAGAAUAAGGGGGCGAUCAGGACUGGGUGAGAAGCCAGUUUGCUUUCUCUUUUUGCCAUUGGGAAAGAACUGUGUGUUAAGGGCUCCUUCCAAAAUCAAAUACCUGUGAAAAGCUUUGGUAAGGCGCACCUGGGACUCCGAGCACCCCAUCCCUGCAAAGAAGAGCCGUAUGUCUGUUUUCUCCAGCGGCCAUCACCACACAGCUCUCUGCUGUCUGCCAUUGCUCCCCAAGCCCUGGCGGCCUCGCGCUUCGGCAUGGAUCUCUGGAUUGUGCUUCAGAGUCAAUGCUUUCCAACAAGCCAGCGCUGCUUUAUCCCGGAACAAACAAACCAACCAACAAGAAAAGUAAAGAAAAACUUCCCCUUGUAGAAAUGAACACAGCACGGCCGGGAGAUACCCACAGGAGGUUUCCAUCCAAUUAAAACUUCUUCUGCAGUUGGGUGUAACUCGCUCUCCCUCGACUAACCUCCAUCACCGUGGAGUGCGAUCCUGGCUCUGGCACCAUACAUAAAGCGUUUUCUUCUGUUGCAAAGAAGCAACAUUUAUAUUAUCAUCAGCAAUGGAAGAAGACGCACACAGGAGGCAGGUGGCUGUUUGCAAUCAGCUGUGCAUUCCCACCGCCGUUUUAGGAGCUCUCGCUGCUGCAGCCUGGCGGCCCAGCCCCCUCGCCUGACUCUGUUUAAAUAUACAUAUCUCUCUGUGUAUAUACAUCACACUCCCCGAAUGCAUACAGAUUGAGAGAUAUAUAUUAUCUCUUUAAAAUAUUAAAAUAAAUUACAUCUUUGCACGGAAUACAGACAUUAAUUCUGUUUCCAGGAGAUUUGUCAAAUCAGUGGCCUGUGUUUGCAUAACAAGCUCUUCACUUACGCUGUGCAGAAUAUAAAUUACCAGGCUGUCAGCUCCGGGUGAAAUCUCCAGAUUUUCAACCGUGUCUCUCCCAUCGAUUAAGAUGAGCUUUAUGUGACGCGUCCAGGUGAGGCGUGCAGGUAGCGGCUUCUUCCGGGCGGAGGGAAGAGGGACAUCCCAAGAAGAUAUGGGUGAGAAGUCAUACUGUGUCUGCAAAGUCGUUUCCUUCUUUGUCUAGAGAACUGGCUUUCCAUUCUUCUCCUCUCUCAUUCACACACACACACACACACACACACAGAGCCUUUGCUCUGGCCGUUAAAUUAUCUGAUGGAUCAGUGGACCCCAUCCUGCCCGAUUUGGGACAGAACAUUUUCGUGAAUGAGAACCAUCCUGAGGGUCGAGACCCAGAAGGCUUGAAGCAGGCUCAUGAACGUCCAGUUUCCAGGGAGCAAGAUUCGUUUCAGGUGUUAUAAAUAAAGCUUCCAAAAACAGUGCAUCCUUCCAGAAUGCCUGGUGUGGCCAGACCCUGUGCUGGGGGCCUCUCCUGCAGUGUGGUACCCAUGCUAACAGUUCUGAGGUUACUCGUGCGAACUGCCCUUCAGAGAUCAGGAAACGAGCAGAUCCAAAGCUUGGGAAACUUUCCCAAGGAGCACAGACGUAGCAAGUGCCCAUCGGGGACUUGAACUCCAGUCUGUCGGGAUCACGUGUCCAGGCUACCCUGGGCUCAGGACAGCAGGUCCUGUCGUGAUACCCUUGGCAACCUGGAACCAGCAGAAGCUUCUCACCAGGGCUCCGGAGGGGCUGAGUUAGAUGACAUUUGAUGCCUGGCUGCUCCUGGGGGGUUGAUUGUGGGGCUGGAGGAAAGUCUUGGAAUUCACCUACUUAGCAUGGGCAUUUAUGAAAGAACUGGAAUGAUUUAGUCACUUCCUGCUUCUGUCCACGUCACUUUCUCUAUUCAUCUGAACUCACACUGUGGACUUAUUCUUGUUUUUGGAAUUUGUCACUGUAAGGAUUUCUGGCUAACUGGUCUACCUGCUCAUAGUCUAUGGGAGGACAUAGAGGGAAAGAAGCUUACACAGAGACCCUCAGUUUGGGAUAGAGGUAGGAUUGGGACCUCCCUCAGUAUUUGCAGCCUGGAGAGAGCUUGUCAUUUAGGCUGCCUUUAGUGCAGAGCAGAACUGGACCAAGACAAGUUUUGGGAACCAUGCAGAGGGAGGCUGUGGGCUCUGGGCGGGAGAAGGGCACAGCCCGUCCAGAGCUGCCUGCAGUGCGUGGUUCUGUCUGACUAAAUGGCCCGGUGAGGGUACAUGAUGGGCGCUUGGCUUGCUGAGCCUGGCUUCAGAACGCCGCUCUGUAUGGGAUUGUAAGACGCUUGGUUACAAUCAUAGUAUUUCUCGGCGAUCAUUCCCAAUUGCAAACUGCGUCAAGAGCUGUGUUCACAAAGCUGUACAAUUUGUCUCUGCUCUGUUUCCCUUUUGCUCAGCUCUGCAAGAUCAAAGGCCGGCGGAUGGAACCAAAUUUAACUCCGAUUUCAGCCAAUUCUUUUUCCACACUUGGCAUUUCUCCGUCCAAAUUACACUUAUAUUGCAAGCGUUUCUGUCUGUAAUUUUCAUGACAAUACAUAAAAGUCAUCUCCUGGUUGAGUAAGCACAGGGCAACUUCCUAAGGUUUUCUUCAGUGUUCCAUUGAGCUUGAUUUCCCCCUAAAUAAGAGCACAACAGCAAUCCAAAGGUGUUGCUUUUCUUUUCCUGUGCACCAGCAGGGCCACCCUGGGCUGACACUGCAGGUGCGGAACCCUCAACCAGAUAGUUUUAAAGACUUUUCUCCUCCUGGCAAAGAGCACAGACUUUGGAAUUAGAAAGCUAGGGUGUGGCAGAUGCUUCUCCUGGCAUAGCAACAGAACCUGCUUUUUAAUCGAAUGUGCUGCUUCCCAAGGAAAAAACUACAUUUCCCAGAAUGCCUUGUGACUAAGACCAUGUGGUUACCUUCUAGCCAAUGAGCUGUAAAACAAGUUCCCAAGACGUCAAAGGUCUCUUCUUCUCUUUCCCCAUUUGGCUCUUUGGAUUGUGGAGGUGAUGACUGGAGCUCAGGCUGCAUUUCAGGAACACGGAAGUGAGGAUCCCAUGUUAGAGGAGGUGGAGCUGAGAGCUAGGGGGCGCUCUGCCUCUGAUAACUGCACAGCUGCCAUUGCACCUCUUGACUCUCCCACUUCUGAUUUCUCCUACUUCAAAGAGAAACAAAUCUUUAUCACGAGACGCCAUCAUUUUCCAGGUCUCCGCUCAUCGAAGCUGAACCUAAUCUUGGGUUCCAAUACUGUCCUUUAUCAAGAUACUGACCUCUGAGCUUCCGUGUCCCUAUUUAUGAGACUUGAAGAUUCCUACUUUUACACUUUUCUGAGUUGUGCUGAUAUUCACCACGCGCAAUGCGGUUCCUCUAACUUUCUCCCUGUCGGUAUUUUCAGGGUGCUCCAUGUUCAACAUCUGGGUGUAAAAACCAUGAAACAAGAAUACGCAGAGCGUGCAGAGGUGAAGCGUAGGGGUCAGUGGCUAAAUGCAAACACACGGUCUCAUUGCACAGUUCAGCUCGGCACUGCUUAAGGCACAGGCAUGGAUCCAACUUUCCACUUCCCUCUCACUGCAGGGUUUUUAGCUCCUCUUCACAGUCAAAGCUAUCGCUCUUUUCCACACGUGCAGUUGGCCUAUUUCUUGCUUCCCGAGGAGCUACGGUCCUUGCUGCCUCUUUUCUUCAGGGGUUACACCUGUAGGAAGUUUAGCUGUGCUCCAUUCAACCUCCUGAUAUUGUAAUUCUUAAAUUCGCACCACCUUCCCUGGCAGCCUCUUCUCAGAAUUUCCAUUUUCUCUCCCGGUCGGGAUACUUCUAUUUACCCGUAUCAUUUCCUGCUUUGAGAUGCUUGCUGACACUCUCUGAUUUCCUAGUCAGACUCCAUUCUGGCUAGGCUUACUAAAAUGUUUCUGACCUUCAAUUUCGCCCCUGCCCUCUAUCUUGUCCCACUUAGUUUAUAGCCAGGCUAUUCUACACAUCAUCCUUUUAGCUGCAGACACACAAAGGAUCUUCAACAGGUUCACAAAAACUCUUACUAUGAAAAAGGAUGACGUAUGGAUUCCCAAAACUGUUUGCACAAUAAACUCAUCUCUGAAUUCCGUAUUUUUCCAUAAACUUUUUGAAGAGCUUUCACGUUAUUUAUUUGCAUAGAGCUACGCGUUGUUACAUGUAUAUAAUCUCAAUUGAUCUUUGCAAUGAUUUUGUAUAGAAGACAAGGCUGGCGUUGUUUCCUUCAUGGCUUUAGGCAAAAGGACACAGGUCAUUCCCAGAGGGGCUGUGUCCAGCCCUCAUCUCCAGUUUGCAGUGCUCACCUUUUCAUUAUGCACUCGAAUUCUCUCCCUACAUUUGAAAGCCGCCCGUGUGGGCUGCCUAUCAAUCAGGUCACAUAUUUCUAUUAUGAUUGCUGCUGCCUCCUCCAGACAGAUUCAUUCUGAUCCACAUAUACUUUGCGAGGAUGAAGGAUUUGUCACAUUUCAUAUUUGAAUAGCGUUUUUAUACUUUCCCAAGUGCCGUCUUGUACUGUAUCUCAUUUGAUAUGCGCUGUAUGUCUAUGAGGUAGGUAAGGCAGACACUUACUUUUCUUCCAUUUUACACAUGAGGGAAUGAGUGCCUGGAUAAUGGAAAUGAUGGCUCAAGAUCACAUGGAAAAUUAGUGACAGGCCCGGGAAUGUGUCCUCUGGCUGAAGAACUCCAUUCUUAAGGAAUGGAAGAGCAGGCGGAGCCUUUGGGGGGGAGUCGGCGGCUCCACACUCCUUUGAGGAAUCUGCAAGAGAAGACAAGGUCGUCUGUCGCCUUCUCCCUUCCCCCUGGUGUUUCAGGGCACUCAAUCGGCUGUCUACAGAAACGCUCGCACUCAGAAUCCAGCACUCUGUCGAGCACUAAAGGGACCUGCCGGAUGAUGGUCAUCGAGGCACAGAUGAUCCCAUCAGGACAGAGUAUGGGAGCCUCAUCCAGGCCAUUCCAUGGAAGCUUGGAGGAGUCAGCUGAAAGCAUGAUACCACCAGUCUCCAUGGACGCCUUCCUGGGCUGGGGCUGGGCCAGUGUUCUGGUCCUUAGAGCCAAGGCAUGGUUUUGGAGUGAGCUCUGGAUGGUUAGUACAGAUUUGAGAGAGAGAGAGAGAGAAAGGAGUGAGGAGAGAGAGAGGGGUAGGAAGAAGAUGGAGAAUGAGAAGGAGAUGAUGGAGAAUGAGAGAGAGAGGGUAGAGACAAAGAUAUGGAUAGGGUGAGAGUGAGGGAGGUACAGAAUGAGAUGGAGAUGACAGCGAUAGGGAUAGGGUGAGAGAGAUGGAGAAUGAGAUGAAUAUGGUAGAGAGAGGGAUAGGAAUAGGGAUUUGGUGGGAGGGAGAGAGAGAGAGGUUGAGGUACAGACUGAGGGAGAGAGUGUUCUUAUCUGUUGGUUCACUCCCCAAAUGCCUGCAUCAUCUGGGUAUCUGCAUCUGGGGGCUGGGAACUCAGUUGGAGUCUUCCACGUGGAUAUCAGGAACCCGACCACAUGAGCCUGAUUGUGCAUUGGCAGGAAGCUGGAGUCAGGAGUCACAGCCGAGCCUUGAUUGCACGUCCUUUGAUGUGGGAUGUGGGUGUCCUAACCAGUGGCUCACCCGCCAGGCCAGAUGCUCACCUGGUGCCCAUGGUUUUGAGCCUCAGCCCUACUAGUAACCUGCCGAGAGGCCGUGGGCAAGUGCUUCUCAUCCACAAGUUUGUUCAUCUGCACAGGAAGCUGGGCUGGCGUUGAAGAUCUCCAUCAGGUCAUCAGGGCUGCCAUAAGAAAGUACUAUGUAAUUGGUGGCUUACACAGCACAAACUGAUUUUUUCACAGAGCUGGGGUCUGGAAGUACAAAUUCAAGGUGUCAGCAGGGUCGGGUCCUUCAGAGUCUCCCCUUAGCUUGCAGGCAGCAGCUUUCUCGCUGUGUCCCCACUUGGCCUUCCCUCUGCACAGGUCUGUAUCCUACCUUUCUCUUCUCAUAAGAACACCAGUCGGAUUGGAUUAGAGCCUGCCCAUAUGACCUCAUUUUAACGUAAUCACUUCUCUAAAGUCCUUAUCUCCAAAUACGUCCACAUUCCGAGCUCCUGGGACUGGGGAUCUCAACAUAUUUUUGAAGAGCAGGAUAUAAUUCAGCUUCUAUUACUGUCUGAAUCUAGUUGGCCAGCAGAAUUACUCAGGGGGUUUUAACCCAUGAAUGGUUUUGGACCUCAAACCUACUCUCAAAGAACCACAGGUGAAGGAGCCCAGGUUAAGAGUUCAGCAUGUGACGGCAGGAUGGCGUGGGUGCAGGACCUCCUGGGAUAGCCUCUCUCCAAGCACCCGUUGUCAUCAUCAUUGUCCCUCUGACUCAGGAGGGAAGGAGGCAUCCAAAUUGGGGGCCAAGGUUGGGGAGGCGGAUGCCCAAGGCUCACCCUGCAGGGCCUCCCACCGUUCUUUGAUGAACAGAGACUGAAGCUGCUGGGGGCAGAGAGAGAGCUCUUUCUGCCAGUUACCUGGAGACCACAGAAGCCCAAAUGUGAUUUCUUUCUGUAUAGAGCAAUUGACACUCCUGAAACUCAUCUUAGGAGAGAGAUUCUGAGUUUGGGACUUGUGACAAUUGCAAGCAUCAACGUGACUGGGCCAAGGAUUGCCCAGAUAGCUGGAAGAAUAUGGCUUCUGGCUGUCAUCCGAUCCACUGGAGUCCUGAUAGAGCAAAAGGCAGAGGAGGCAGGAGCAGGGGCCGGGGUAUGCAGUCAGAUGGGCAGAGUGGUGGUGAGAACACAGAUAGAUGACGCUCGGGAAAAGAGUCCCUCAGCUCCUGGCAGUGAGUGGGCCCCAGAUCCUCACGUCUAAAAACAGUUUCCCCCUCUUU